rnacentral:tRNA from 1 species
GGAGAGGUGCCGGAGUGGUUGAUCGGGGCGGUCUCGAAAACCGUUGUAGCCAUUCAUGGUUACCGAGGGUUCGAAUCCCUCCCUCUCCG